AGCGAACCCAGCACUCAGCGGAACCGGUAGAAGCGUCGGGGGUCGCCCGGCUUCUGCGAACCGCCCUGGGAUGCGAGGUCCGGCAUCACUAUCUCAUCCUGGGAAAGGAUGAGAUCCGGGUGGGCCGAGGCUGCGUCCAGUGUCACAGGGGCUGUGUGAAGAUGAGGAGAAAGAGCCUGGAGGUGGUCUGGGGAAUAAAGAAUGAGAUGAAAUGGUGAGAGUCCAGAGGGGUUGAGCAAAGAACUCAGUAUCACACAGCAAGGCACUAAUUUGAAAUGCCUGGGAGAAGUAGAAGCUGCAUUUGUCUCUCAUAAUCUUAUUGGACCAGGAAGGCAGCAGGAGACACCAGUGUGCCCCAAAGAAGGAGAAGCCAGAGAUGACAGUCCCUGCCAGAGGCCAUCUCUGGUCCACCAGACAACUCAGCACCAACUUCCCAACAGCCACUGCUCUAGGCCAGGUGUCCACGUGGGGAAUAGGUCCAGGCCCUCUAUGGCUCUUGCAGGAGUCAGGGAGGCAGAUAAAUAACAUAUCACGAAGACAGAAUGUAAGAAAUGCCUGGGAGGAGGCAUACGGAUGCAUGGAAAGUACUCAGCCAGGAGCCUGGCAUUAGAAGGGCCCAGGGAUUGUUGGCAUGUAUGAGUCACAGUUCCAUUUCAGUGGAGUGAGCAGGAAGAGAAUCUCCUAGAAGUAGGUGAAUAGAGAAAAUACAGCCUCUUCCUUACCUUUG